rnacentral:rRNA from 1 species
UCAAGCGAAUAAGUGCACAUGGUGGAUGCCUUGGCAGUCAUAGGCGAUGAAGGACGUGGUAGCCUGCGAAAAGCUACGGGGAGCUGGCAAACAAGCUUUGAGCCGUAGAUGUCCGAAUGGGGAAACCCACCCUUUUAGGGGUAUCGCACAGUGAAUACAUAGCUGUGCGAGGCGAACCUGGAGAACUGAAACAUCUAAGUACCCAGAGGAAAAGAAAUCAACCGAGAUUCCGAGAGUAGUGGCGAGCGAAAUUGGAACAGCCUGUACGAUUUAGCAUUUGAGUUAACAAAACGGUCUUGAAAGUCCGGCCAUAGAAGGUGAUA